UACGAAGGGGGCUAGCGUUGCUCGGAAUCACUGGGCGUAAAGCGCACGUAGGCGGCUUUUUAAGUCAGGGGUGAAAUCCUGGAGCUCAACUCCAGAACUGCCUUUGAUACUGGAGACUUGAGUCCGGGAGAGGUGAGUGGAACUGCGAGUGUAGAGGUGAAAUUCGUAGAUAUUCGCAAGAACACCAGUGGCGAAGGCGGCUCACU
rnacentral:rRNA from 1 species